CGACCUGAGCUCAGACGAGAUUACCCGCUGAAUUUAAGC
rnacentral:rRNA from 1 species